rnacentral:rRNA from 1 species
GACGAACGCUGGCGGCGUGCCUAAUACAUGCAAGUAGAACGCUGAAGAGAGGAGCUUGCUCUUCUUGGAUGAGUUGCGAACGGGUGAGUAACGCGUAGGUAACCUGCCUGGUAGCGGGGGAUAACUAUUGGAAACGAUAGCUAAUACCGCAUGAUAUUAAUUAUUGCAUGAUAAUUGAUUGAAAGAUGCAAUUGCAUCACUACCAGACGGACCUGCGUUGUAUUAGCUAGUUGGUGAGGUAACGGCUCACCAAGGCGACGAUACAUAGCCGACCUGAGAGGGUGAUCGGCCACACUGGGACUGAGACACGGCCCAGACUCCUACGGGAGGCAGCAGUAGGGAAUCUUCGGCAAUGGGGGGAACCCUGACCGAGCAACGCCGCGUGAGCGAAGAAGGUUUUCGGAUCGUAAAGCUCUGUUGUAAGAGAAGAACGGGUGUGAGAGUGGAAAGUUCACACUGUGACGGUAUCUUACCAGAAAGGGACGGCUAACUACGUGCCAGCAGCCGCGGUAAUACGUAGGUCCCGAGCGUUGUCCGGAUUUAUUGGGCGUAAAGCGAGCGCAGGCGGUUAGAUAAGUCUGAAGUUAAAGGCUGUGGCUUAACCAUAGUAUGCUUUGGAAACUGUUUAACUUGAGUGCAGAAGGGGAGAGUGGAAUUCCAUGUGUAGCGGUGAAAUGCGUAGAUAUAUGGAGGAACACCGGUGGCGAAAGCGGCUCUCUGGUCUGUAACUGACGCUGAGGCUCGAAAGCGUGGGGAGCAAACAGGAUUAGAUACCCUGGUAGUCCAAGGGCGAAUUCCACAGUGGAUAUCAAGCUUAUCGAUACCGUCGACCUCGAGGGGGGGCCCGGUACCCAGCUUUUGUUCCUUAGGGGGNNNGGUA